UAAGAGCUGUACCCAGGAAGUCUAA
rnacentral:piRNA from 1 species